UCUAGUCUAAAUAUAAUUUAUAUGAACAAGAAUAAGGUUGCUGCAGUUUGACAGAGGACUGACAUGAGCAUGAUGCUGCCUAUAAAAUGCCUAUUUUGUGUGAAUAUAGGUGUUGUGUAGGAACUAGAAUAUUUCAGUGAUAUUUCUGCUGUGUGCAGUCUUGACGGAUCCAAUGGGAUGAUGUGCCUUCGCUGAUAAAUGUAUUAUUUGCCAUGUUAGGCUGUAGCCCUAUUCGGACCGGUAUUACUAGAGACGUUGGUUUUGUCAUUAUUAUCCAAGCUAUUAUUCAAGCAUGUGCGUUAUUCCAGGGGACGAUUCACACACGAUUCGUAAUUCUUAUUUUUUUAUUAUUAAUUUAAUUGACUCUUAUGACGGACUUUAUUGCAUCCGUGAAGAUAUGUCAACGUCAUUUCUAGACGAUAAUAGGCUACACACUGACAACUCGCGCUUGGCUGCCAAAUGUAUAGGUCUCCAUUAUACUUAAAUUGAUUAAGUGUGAUCAUAAUUAUUUUAGCUAUCCAUCCAUGGUAUACGUCCUUCCUGAUAGCAAUGCCCUACAUCCUGAUGAUUUGAGCUGCUGAACAGUGGCGGUUCAAGACCAUUUCAACUGGGAGGGCCAAGCUGGGGUCAGUUGUACUGUUACGGGGCCAGUUACAUUAGACGUUAUUGUUGUCAUUGUUUUCUUCACUGGUAUUUCUUUAAAAUACCAUGUUCAUAAUCAUCAUCGUUGCCACUGUCUAAUAAUGGAUGUAAAAUAAAACGAUAAGAAACAGUUUGACAAUCAUUAAAAUGAUUUCAUACUCCACAUUUAGGGGGUCCAAAAUUGUUGUCACAUGGGCACUGGGGUUGGUGCGAAAACAUACAGGAAGGUGCUCUCCAGGAACAGGGUUGGAGAACCCUGACCUAGGUCAACAGCCAGCCAGGGUUUCAUUAAAUAAACUAUAGGCAAUACUUUUUUAUUGCGAAAAACAGCAUUGCGAUAGCCUAUAGCCUACAUCUUCUGAUUACCGAUACACGGUUCUGUUGUGCUGCCUGGUGGCCGACAUGCCUACCUAUGCCCCUCUAUCUCUCUUUCUUUGCUGUGAAAUAUGUUUGUUCUCGAAAUAGACCACGGAGAAAAGUUUCCUCCGUUGCAAAAAUACAGAAAUGUAGGAGUAGAUCGAAGCUUGACAUCCAGUAAUGGGAGUCGACGGACUCCACACCAUAUAGCAGACUGACCAGGUGAAAGCUGUGAUCCCUUUGAACGGGGUAUGGUAGUAGGUGCCAGGUGCACCGGUUUGUGUCAAGAACUGCAUCACUGCUGGGUUUUUCCACACUCAACAGUUUCCCGUGUGUAUCAAGAAUGGUCACCACCCAAAGGACAUCAAGCCAAUUUGACAACUGUGGGAAGCAUUGGAGUCAACAUGGGCCCGCAUCCCUGUGGGACUCUUUUGACACCUUGUAGAGCAUGCCCUGACAAAUUCAGGCUGUUCUGAGGGCAAAAGGAGGGCAUAAAACUCAAUAUUAGAAAGGUGUUCCUAAUGUGUGGUAUAUAUAAAACACAAGCAAAUCACAUUGACAACACCGGACCUUUAAAGGGUACCUUAGUGAAGUGUUAUCAUGCAUGGGAUGGCGGACUAACUAUGCCCAUGUCAAGGUAUUCCAAUAAACAGUUACACAAUGAUAAACGACACCAUGGUGUUGUCCCAAACCUUUAUUGCAGCCCUCGAACAGAACAUUUACAGCACGUGUCAAACUCAUUCCACGGAGGGCUGAGUGUCUGCGGAUUUUCGCUCCUCCCUGGGUGUCUAGGUCCUCAUUGAAAGAAAAAAAAAAAAAAAACCCGCAGACACUAGGUCCUGCAUGGAAUGAGUUCGACACCCCUGAUUUAUAGAAACUGUGACAGCCGUCCAACUCUGCAUACAGAAUGCAUUUUCACAAUAAUUUAAAAACCUGUUAGCCUAUACAGCUGGAUACUAUGUUUACCUCUAUGUAUAACAUGUUUUUGUGUGUAAACCCCUGUUCAUAUGUGAACUGCAAUAAAAAAUAAACACUGAGAUUGUAGUGAUGUUUUCGGUUACUGCUGGUUGUGGAAUGUCUUUCCCUUGGAGUACAGUCCAUUCUGAGCAGAAGAGCCUCAACUGUCACAUAUGGCUUUGAAAAAAGUGAAGCACUUUUUAUUUAUUUAAAUUUUCAUAAUUAAAAAGGUCUGAUCCUAAAAAAGUGUAUUUUUAUUUAAAAAUCUAGAACAGAUCUAUCUUGUAAAGUUUUGUAUAAUGUAAAAUUAACACCACGUUAAAAAUUCACAUUGACUUCAAAAGUGUUAGGUAAUAGAAAAAGACCCACUAGUGUUAUAGAAAAAAGACAAUAAGUCCUAAGAACUAGAUUGCAACCACUUGUUUUCGUGUACAUCGAAACAAACCGUUAUUUGGUUUCCUCAGAGAAGAUUUGCAUUGCAGCAUUCCCUACAGUCCAUCACCUUAUCACCAUUAUCUCAUCCAGCAGGCCCCUUAUUACCACAAUGUACAGAAAACUUCUACAAUGGAAAAAUGUCAAACAAAAACACACUCAUCUGAAUUCACAGAAACAUUACAUCGUUGGAGGAACACAAACUAAGCACACGACUGAGUUUCCUUGAAAAAAAUGAAAUCAUUUUUUUUCCCUUCACCGUACAGCCUUAAGUUCAAAGCAUGAGCUAGCAUCAUCCUUGUAGUAAAAACAAACCAUGACAACAUCAUUAACGACAACAUCAAAAUUAAAUACUAGCACAAGUCGAGUUAGAUGUCGCUAGGACAGAGUGAGCAGGUUACACUCAAGUUCCCUUCUAGAUGCACAACAGUGUUUCUCUUUGAACAGUUGGUUUGGGGGGGUCACGCACUGAAACACAUGCAGAGGGACAAAAAGAGGUGGUCCGGGUGUCUGCUAAAUCAGCAACAAUUACAGACAUUCAAAAACCUUUGUUCCAAAUGAAGCACUUACCCUGGGCUUGAGCCAGUUAAUAUACAAGUGAAAGUGGAACUGUACAUUUAGAGAGAAAGGGAACAAACGUUUAUGAACAUUACUGCCGCAGACUUUAAAUAUAUAUAUAUAUAUAUAUAUUUUUUUACAGUUUACGUGUACUGACUGAUGAAUUUCGAAUAAUCAUGUUCCUGUUGGACCACGUGUGUGCGUGUGGAGAGCAGAUCUAUUGGAGGACCUGGGACACUGCACAGCAGCCUGUUUUAUCAGGAGACUGGGUUGGGUCAGACCAUUAACCCAUAACAGCUACGCCCACACUGAGCUGCACCUAAGAGUUACUACCAGACUCUGAGACAUGCCCUUCCUUCGUCUCCAGGUAAAAAUCAGUUUUUCCCAGAACAAAUGGCAUAUGCCAACAUUUCUCCCAUUUGGAGAGUUUACAUCCAACCCAAAUACAGUAAAAA